AAAUUUACUAGGCCGGUUGUGACGGCCCUAGUAAUCCCAGCAUUUUCAGAGGCCAAGAUGGGCAGAUCGCUUGCACUCAGGAGUUUGAGACCAGCCUGGGCAACAUGGCAAAACCCUGUCUCUACAAAAAAUACAACAACAACAAAUUAGCCAGGCGUGGUGGCAUGCACAUGUGGUCUCAGCUAUUCGGGAGGCUGAGGUAGGAGGAUUGUUUUAGCCCAGGAGUUUGAGGCUGUAGUGAGUCGUGAGGGUGCCACUGCACCCCAGCCUAGGUGACAGAGCAAGACCUUGUCUCAAAAACAAACAAACAAACAAACAAUUUUAAAAAAAAUUUACUAAAGUCCAGUGCCAUUCAGAUUUUCUCGAUUUCUUGCCUAAUGCCUAUUUUCUGUUCCAGGGUCCCAUCCAAGAUACCACGUAGUUUGCGGAUCUUCAUAGGCUUUUCUGGGCUGUGAUCAUUUUGUCAGAUUCUCCUUGCUUUGGCCCAUAAAAGCCCCAGACCGAGCUGAGCAGACUACAGGACAACCACCUGCAGAAAGGAGCUACCCUCUCUGCUGAGAGUUUCAGAGACCUGCAGAGACCUCAGGACUACCAGCAACCCACUCCAGGGCCUCCUCUCUCCUAGGAGCUGGGCAGACAACAGGACAACCAGUAGCAGAGAGGAGCUACCCUCUCCAAGGCCUCCUCCCUGCUGAGAGCUGAACAGUAAGGACAACCUGCCUGCAGAGAGGAGCUACUCACUGUGGGUCUCAUCUGAGCUGUUCUAACACUCAAUAAAGCUCCUCUUCGUCGUGUUCACCCUUCGCUUGUCUGCAUAGCUCAUUCUUCCUGGAUGCAGGACAAGAACUCUUGCAAAGGUGCCACCAGCCACAGAGGUGUCCGGCCAGAAAAUUGACACCCCAAAGAUCCUGUAAUGACUGCAG
rnacentral:lncRNA from 10 species